rnacentral:rRNA from 1 species
AGUGAACGCUGGCGGCGUGCUUAACACAUGCAAGUCGAACGAGAAACGGAUUUAGCUUGCUAAAUUGCAGUCUAAGUGGCGCACGGGUGAGUAAUGUAUAGGUAACAUGCCUUCUACUAGGGGAUAACAGUUGGAAACGACUGGUAAUACCCUAUAUUCCUUAUUAGCACAAGUGUGUAAGGGAAAGAUUCAUUGGUAGAAGAUUGGCCUAUAUUGUAUCAGCUAGUUGGUAGUGUAAUGGACUACCAAGGCUAUGACGCAUAACUGGUUUGAGAGGAUGAUCAGUCACACUGGAACUGAGACACGGUCCAGACUCCUACGGGAGGCAGCAGUGGGGAAUAUUGCACAAUGGGCGAAAGCCUGAUGCAGCAACGCCGCGUGGAGGAUGACACAUUUCGGUGCGUAAACUCCUUUUAUAUGGGAAGAUAAUGACGGUACCAUAUGAAUAAGCACCGGCUAACUCCGU